AAGAGGGAGGCACUGACCACAGUGCAGAACCAGUAACCUUGUCUUAUGUGAUCAUUAACCUUGCUGGAAAAUGCAGCUGGCAGUUCACUCUGUUAGCUGGUCAUAGGAUGUGAGGGAGACACACAGGCACUGCGGAGCCUUGCAAGGAUUUUUUGAUCUGCUCCAAGUAUUAUUAAAUACCAGUUCUACUUGCUGUGACUGCAAGAUGAGAUUCCCGCAGCUCCUUCACAUUGUGUUUUUCCUCUUGCUGAGUCUACUCCUUACCGCUGGCCAGAGACCAGCUAACCUGGUCCUGCGCAGAAAGCUACACAGACACAACUGCGCUCACAGGAGAUGCAUGCCUCUCCACUCCAGAGUGCCUUUCCCCUGAGGGAUCUUCAAGCUGGUGUUGCUUUGCUAAAUUUAGGUGAUGGAAACAUCUGUCCAAAUGAUUCUUCACUAUUGAAGAUGAAGGCCCAUUUACAUGUUGUUUUCAACAGAAGACAGAUUAGAUGAGAUUCCUCAUCAGUGACAGCAUAAACAUAACCAGCUAAAGCAAUCAGAUCAGCUCAUUCAGUAGGCAGCAGAAAGAAGAAUGAAACAGAGAAGACCAAUCAAGAAAAUCAGCUAGCUGCAGCAUGCUAGCCCGUGCAGGUGUCCACAUGUAAGCCAUCAUCUGUAAGCAUUCAGAACCUUAUCAGGCUUGUAUUGGAACAGCUUCACAGGAGUUUCAGAUUUCUCUGAGUGGAGAAAAACAAUGGACUCAAACACGACCUCAGUUUGGAACUGUGGAAAAUCAUCAGUGCCAUAAAAAUAGUCAACCAUUUCAGCACACCAACGUAUAGCCAUGAGGGUAACAGUGAAAUCGCUACUGAAAAAAGAAAGCUUUCCAAAAUGAGAGCAGUUGUACCACUUUUAAAAGCUUUUGUUUUUAACAGGAAUUACUUACCUUUCACAUGUCUAUGUAUACCUUUGUUUUUAGAUAUAAUAGCAGAAUAUUAAAAAAACAAGGAUUCUGAAGCAGCUAUUUAAUAAUUACAUUGUAAAGAAUGAAUAUAUAAGUUCUGGUGUUUUUAAUGGUAUUGUAUGUUUAUAUAUAACCAUAAUUAUUCAGUUAAUUUUGCUAAAAUAUUAAGAAAAACAAAAUAUAGAGGGCUACAGGUGCAUGUUCAUUUAUGGAUGGAAAAGAUGUUGUUAACUACAGUACUAAACUGUUUGGAAAGCAAAAUGACAAACUAGACUUUAGAAAAUAAUUUUGAAUGUCUUUGUUCAUUUUUAGUCAUGUUGUAUAUCACAAAAACAUCUUAGUAGAAACAUAGCUGGUAACCUUUGAUUGCUAUGUUUAUAAAAUAGCAAAGUGGCUGUAUAUUUUGUAAAAAAAUAUGCACUUCAAGUAUCAUGUUAAUGUUUCAUUUUAAAUACACUUUGUACAUUUUUUAAUUUUAUAUUCUUUACAUAUAAAGGGCCUUGCAUCCAAA